rnacentral:tRNA from 1 species
GCGGAUGUAAGCUCAGUGGUAGAGCUUGAGGAGUGCCCACCCCCAGGUCGCGGGUUCGAUUCCCGUCAUCCGCU